CCGCGCAAUCGUUUGGCAAAAUCUCCCCGGACACAGCUGGGCUCUGCAUCCACAGAUGAGCCGGCGUCCGUCCCGGAGGGGGGUCCGGGAAGACGGAGAGGACGGCCCGGGUGGUAGCAGACCCCGACCGGAGGCUUCCCAGGGAGAGGGCAGCACCACGGGAGUCCCACCCCGGCACUGAGCCAGAGCCCGGGCUGUGGGGGUGGUGUGGGGGCCUCCCCGGCCGGAGGGCUGAGAGGCUCAGGGACCAGGGAGGGACUCAGCUCCAGCCCCUUCGUGCGGCGCCCCGGCCCCUCGCCCUGGUCUCUCAGGCCCCGCCACCCUGCCCGGGGCCCUUGGAUUCAGGAGCACCUGCGUCCCCAAAGCGUGGCCAUCACGUGGCCUGCCUCGGCCCCUGCCCACAUCCCACACUCUUGGAGAGAAGCCCACGUUCUCACUGUGCCCCGUCCGUGUCUGGGUCCCGCUCCGUGUCAAGCACAGGCCCUGGCCCACCGCAGCACCCGAGCCGGUGACUGGGCAGCUCGGAAACACGGUGGGCGGGCCUCCAGUUGGGGGCAGCGGGGCCUCUGAGCCCUUCCCGGCAGGGGCUGGAGUCACUAAACCGCAGAGGGCUCCAGCCUCCCUCCGUGCCGUCCAGCAGCGCCGAGCAGCAGAGCCCUCCCCACGACUUCCCGUGCAACUUGCUCCCGCUCGGAGUCUGGGCUUCAACUUCGGGGCCGUUCUGCAGAGCCGUCUGGAAAUCAGUCAUCUGCCGGGCGAGGGAAGUUCUUACCCGUCUCUUUUGGCCAGAUGGCCAUUGCCGUGAGAGCAGUCAUGCCCUUGGCCCGACACUCCGCAGAGAUCGCACCUGGAGUUUCCGGGGAAGCCAGAGGUCCGCUGUGGCUUGUAGGAGUUGCCCUUUAACAGAAAGUGAGCGCCAGCAGGGGCAGAGAGAGAGGGAGAAUCCCAAGCAAGCUUCCCGCUGUCAGUGCAGAGCCCGACUCGGGACUUGAACUCACAGACCGGGAGAUCAUGACCUGAGCCGAUACCAAGAGUCGGACGCUCAACCAACUGAGCCAGCCAGGCGUCCCUGCAGACGCUCUAUUUCGAAAAGGAGAAUUAACGGGAAAAUGUGAGAACCAGAGGAUCUCACAUCAUCACGUGAGAUCAGAUGUCCUCUCUUUUCAGACAAGAAGCAUCUAGAAAUGGAGAAGGAAAACAGCCUCUUCUCCAUAGUGGGGAAGCCAGGAGCAGCGCAGGGGUGAGGGCGGAAGGGAAGAGCUGCCACUCUUCUCCCGUCCCUGCGGUCCAGCCCUGGGGUGGCCGUGCCCAUCUGGCACUCCCUCCACCGCCCUGCCCUCCCCGCGGUGUCUCCCCUCCCCCAGUCCCCAGCAUUACACGCCUUCUGCCUGAAAGACCUGGAGUGCCCCCCCCCCCAUCCGUGUGAGGAGAGUGUAGCAUCUCAUUUAAGGACGCAGAACAGACAUUCCGCUGUCCGGGUAAGAACUCUGGAGAUAAACGGUGUCAUUCUACGGAGACUGAUGUUCCAACGUAAUACAGUUUUAUUAGAUCCCCAGCAGGCCUGAGGGCUUUGUUGCUGUCUUAGGUAAAAUUAUUUUGAAGUUUAUACGAUAAGCGUCACGCGCUGAAUGUUCCCCCCUCCCCCAUCCGCAUGUUGAGGCCCUGACCCCUCCUGUAAUGGUGUUUGGAGGUCAGGCCUUUCGGAGGGGAUUUUAGACGAGGCCCCGUGAUGGCGUCAGUGCCCUUGUAAGAAAGGCUCUCCCUGUCCGCCAUCUGAGGACCCAGCAGAAGAUGCCCGCCAGCCGGGAGCGGGGCUUCCUCACCAAAAGCCAGCCGUGCGGGCACCUGAUCCCAGACUUUCAGCACCCCCCCCCCCCCCCCCCGUCUAGGGGGCAAUGGCAGCGCAAGCCAGCUGACUCAGGAGUAGACAAGAGCCCCAGUGUGCGCAGCCGGCCAGCACCGGUGUAGGAGAGGAGGCACCACAGCACGGCCCCAGCCUCAUGAGAGGCCAGACGGGAACGCGAGACCAGGGCCCUCGUUCCGGCACAAGAGGAAGCACCUUGUCACGCGUGGGGCCAGGACAGCCAGCUGCACCCAGCAGCACAUAAAAGGGAGGCCGCCCCGCAUCUUAAUCGAAAACAAAUUCAAGAUGUCUUAGAGACUCCGAUGUAAAAUAAAGUAAACUAAAGACGCUGCCAGGAAGUCUGGGAGACCGCGAGCGGCCCAGGCAGGGGCGAGGAGUCCUUGCAACGCAGGAGGCACCUAAAAGAAAUUCUAAAUAUGCCGGUCACUCCUGCACUGUUGGUGGGAAAGGAAUCCAGGGACGCGGGCUCAAGGAACUCCUGCGUGUGGCCUCAGCCCCCACGUCCCCGGCCGCACCCGUCCGCCCCGCUGCCCCACACGGGACCGGCCCAGGGCCCCGAACCGCAUCUACUUGUGAGUCCUGGAGGCUGGGAGCCCGAGGUCCAGGCGUGGGCACGGCUGGGUCCUCCCGAGGCCCCUGUCCUGGGCGUGUGGACGGCACCUGCUCCCCCUGUCUUCACGAGGUCUGUGUCCAGAUUUCUUCCUCUUAUAAGGACACCAGUCGUGUUGGAUUAGGAUCCACCUUAAUGCCCAUAUUUAACAUAAUCGCCCCUUGAAAGACUCCGUCUCCCAAUACAGUUGGGGUCUGGGCUGUCCUGAGGGUCAGAGCGUCACCGUGCGAACGUGACGAGGGCUCAGCCCCUAGCACAGCCUUGGGCUUUGCUUCCAGAGAAUCGCCAACCUCGUGUGUUAAGGGCUGUUUCCGCUCGUGGCCUGGCUCAUAGAGGCGGGAAAAAGCACCUGAAAACAGAGAACUAGGAGACCAACAGGCAAGUGGUCACACGAAUAGGGUCAGGUCCACUGUGAUGUGGAACAGCUUCCUUUGGGAAAGAGCCUGAGCUCGGCCGGGUGGGCCGGAGGAGGCGUUUGCUUCGUCCUCCCCGGGGUUGUUGAGAUAGUCAGCAACACGUACCACUGUGCGGGUUUAACCUGGGCGCUGGGCAGGAUCGCUGCAUAUAUUCUGAGAACUCCUCGCCACAGGGAGGUCGGUUAACACACCCUUCGCCUCACUCACGUAAUUACCGUUUCGUUGUUGUCAUGGAGAUGCCACGUCCACAGCAGCGUCGAACAUACAACACGGUAUUGUUAACGCCAAACACCGUGCUGUACGUGAGAUCCCUGGACACUAACCAUCUUAGAACCGGGGAAGUUUUUUUUUUUUUAAGUUUAUUUAUUUAUUUUGAGAGAGACAGAGACAGCGCAAG